UAAAAAUACUCUGUGUAAAAACCCAAAUAAUUUAAAAGAAAAUAUCUUAUCAGCAGUUGUAUAUAAAAACUUAAUAACUCAUUGAUGCAAUUAGUUUCAUUGCAACAGUCUAUCAAAUUAACAAUGAAUUGUAAAAUAUCUAUAAUCAUUUUAGUAGUUUUUAGUACUAUUUUCGCAACUACAGCUUAUCCCCGUAAAUGUUGUAGUACAUCCCGUAAAAUUUAUUAUGUCGAAAAUAAUAAAUUUUUAAAUUGGGAUGCAGCCAGCAGUGCUUGUGAAGCUAAGGGCAUGCAUUUGGUAAGCAUAGCAAAUAAGGACGAACUGAAUUACUUAAAGACAUAUAUUAAAACAAUCUAUGGUCGCAUUUAUCCUUAUUGGUUAGGAGCCUAUAAGAUAAAUGGUCAGUUUGAAUGGACUUCAACUGGUAAACAAAUCAAAAAUUUCUUUUGGCAUGAGGGAGAACCCAACAAUAAAAGUGGCAAUGAGAAUUGUAUUCAUACAUGGGAGGAAGAUUUUGAUUGGAAUGAUAAUGAUUGCGAAUUAAAAUUACCGUUUAUAUGUGAAUUGGAGUAUAAUAAUGAAAAGAGAUUUAUUGAAACUUAGAAUACUAAUUAAAAUAUAAAAUAAAUUCGCAGUACCAUAAAAAUGUACACUAUUUUUAGCGAAAUUAAGAAUAUUAAAUACAUAACUAUACAAUAAAGCAGCAUAAAAAUA